rnacentral:rRNA from 1 species
CAAUUCAACGAAAAGAGGAUAGCCAAACCCAGAGGGAAAUCUAAACCCAUUAAUCCAUUCGAAGUCUAGAUCGCAGUUUGCAACUCGGAUGCGUGAAGUCGGAAUCGCUAGUAGUUCAGCAUCAGAAGGUGGCGGUGAAUACGUUCCUGGUUCUCGUACACACCCCCCGUCACUCCAUGGGUGCGGGUUCAGCCCCAAAUAGAUAGCCUAACUAUAAGUAGGCCGUGUACCAUAGCACGGUU